UUACCUUUCUAAGCUGAAUCGGAUACUACGACUUCAAAGUGAGCCGAGAUCACAUCACUGCACUCCAGCCUGGGUGACAGAGCAAGACGGAGUCAUUCAUUUUGAUAUGAAUUUAAUCAUCUCCUAUUAAGUUAUGAGAAAUGAUAUUUUGUAUGAGACACCUCCAGAUGUUCUAAAGCAUAUCACAUUAAAUCAGGAGAUGUGAUAUGCUUGGACUCAUGGUGCGUUAACCCAUUGCAGGUUUACCUUCCAUGAAAAAAAAGUGUAUUUUAGUUCACUUUCAAUUUCUACCAAAGGUUGUGUUAAGAAACA
rnacentral:lncRNA from 1 species